rnacentral:rRNA from 1 species
GUAGUUAGCCGGGGCUUCCUCCUUGGCUACCGUCACUUUCUUCGUCACCAAGGACAGAGGUUUACAACCCGAAAGCCUUCUUCCCUCACGCGGCGUUGCUGGGUCAGGCUUGCGCCCAUUGCCCAAUAUUCCCCACUGCUGCCUCCCGUAGGAGUCUGGACCGUGUCUCAGUUCCAGUGUGGCCGAUCAGCCUCUCAGCUCGGCUACCCAUCGUUGGCUAGGUGGGCCGUUACCCCGCCUACUACCUAAUGGGACGCGAACCCCUCCUUUAGCGGAUUUCUCCUUUGACCUCUGUGUCAUGCGGCACUGUGGUCUUAUGCGGUAUUAGCACACCUUUCGGUGCGUUAUCCCCCUGUCUGAGACAGAUUGCUCACGCGUUACUCACCCGUCCGCCGCUCAAAUACACUCGGAUUGCUCCUCAUGCAUCUCCGCUCGACUUGCAUGUGUUAGGCACGCCGCCAGCGUCGUCCUGAGCCAUAAUCAAACUACUGA